AGUGCAGUUGCUGGGUCAUAUAUGGUAAGUCCAUUUUAAGUUUUAAAAGAAACUACCAAACUGUUUUCCAGGGUGGCUGUGCCAUUUUACAUUCCCACCGGCAAC
rnacentral:pre_miRNA from 1 species